rnacentral:tRNA from 1 species
UCUAAGGAUGUUCCUAGCCAUUGAUGUUCGCAUUGAUCGUGGAACACUUAGCAAGAUGCGCAAACAAAGCGCAUCAACAUCAGGGCAUUCGCAAGGAUGACCCUUGAGCCGGGCCGUCCUCGUAUCUCUUCAGUUUCAGUACACGGGCUACCGCCCGUAUGGGUCGGUAGCUCAGGUGGUUAGAGCGCACGCUCUGAUAAGCGUGAGGUCGGAGGUUCAAGUCCUCCUCGACCCNNNNNNNNNNNNNNNNNNNNNNNNNACCAUGAAAUUAAUUUACCUUAUAUUUAGAUUGGCAGAAUAUAUCUUCAAGCAUUUUUGAAUGUUUGGACGUCUGUUCUGCAGACGAAUUGACAUCGUAUAGAGAGAUACAAAUAUCAACACUGUUUGAUCGCGCCGAGUGUGGCGAUGAUCUCGGUUUGGUUCUAUUUUGUUGUUUAGUAGUCGAGAGGCGAAGGGCAUUAUACAAGAUGGAAGGCGACUGAUUGGAUGCUUCCUCGUCCGGUUUGUUGUAUCCCUGCUGAAACGAACGGAGUUGUCCAAGUCAAGUACACUAACCAGAGUAGCAUCGUUCAUAUCCCGCAUGGAUUAUGGACAUUGGUGACUACUCAAUUGUCAGCAUGCCACAAACAUGCUGGCGGGAAAAAGUAUACUUUUGAUUCUAGAAUAAGACUGCAUUUAGUUACCAGCUGUGCGGUCGUGUUAGACGCAAGUCUUUCUUUUUCU